GGGACUUACCAGCAAGGAUCCACGGAUCCUGGGAUUAACUCAAAGUUUGCUGCUUCAGGUGUUCUUCAGCGGCAACAUAAAAGCCCUUGGAAGGAUGUUCUUAGUUUUGCAGGAUUUCAAACUCAAAAGGUAAAUAUGUGCACUAUGUUUUUAGAUCCAUGAGAAAGUUAUAGUUUGGUAUUUGAUUUACUGCGUGUGUAGUUGUUAACUUACUUGUUGUUCUUGUGGUGAGUGUUGUCAGGUGUCGUUGUUGUUUUUGUGAAGAGAAAAAUAUAGUAGUAGUUGAGUAACAAAUUCUGUAAUCUUGUGAAAGAAUCGAAGUAAAAAUCAGAAAUGCAUGUUUGGGUUUCGUUUUCAGUGUAUAUUAAGUUGUGUAUUUGUUUUCAUUUUUUCCUUGUUUUUUUGUGUAUUUUCUUGUUUUUUUCCGCUUUAUCAUAUAUUCGUAUAAUAUAUAAUUAAUUAUUAUAAGUAGUUAAGAAAACGUUUGUUAAAUUAAAGGGGGAAUUAUGCUAAAACUAGACCUCCUACACAAUCGAAAUUAGUGUGGGAAAGACAGAGACAGUGACAGAGACAGAGAGACAGAGUUUCGGCGAGAUAGAAAAGAGGAAGGCAAAAUUAUUUACAGCAAAUACUAAUUAAUUAAUUAAUAAGACUCUGGGCUAGACGAAAAUCAAUAGAAUAGAUUGACCGUGUUUUCAUUCGAUAAUUUGUGCGAAUGGCGUGCGCCAUUUGCUACUCAUAGUUAAUUAUAUGCUCCAUCUUUCUCUUUGAUGUUUUUUUCACGAUUUUCUACGAUUUCUCAUUUCUCUCUCUCGUCUGCAAAUAUACAAAUACAAAUAAAUACAAGUUUUUUGGGGGCUGACUAUAUAUCCUUAAGUGUACGUUUAUACUUGUAUGUGUGUGUGUGUGUGUGUCUGUGUAUGUACCUAUGGUUGCUUGUGUGUAUAUGUGUAUGUAUCUUUUAACAUUCAAUUCAACAAUUGUUUUUAUUCAGCUUCAUAAUCUGUAUUUGCUCGCUAAGUUGACUCCUACUACUUUAUGGUACUCGAAAAAUAAUUUGUAAACUAAAAACUCUACAAUUACAAAACAUUUAAAAAUUAAAAAGGGGAAAUACAAAAUGUUUCACUAAUUUAGACGUAAUAUGUUUAUUUACAAAUUCUUUUUAUACACAAUACUGUUUGCUGUGAGUGAGUGCGAGACGCAAAGGCUUAAUUAGAAACGGAAAUGAAAACGUUUAAAUAGGCUAAAAAGUAGGGGAAAUAAAACCGAAAAUAAUUAAAUUGUUAUUAAACGAUCUUCGUUAGUACUUCGUUCAAUUGGAAUAUGAAAUUAUUGGGGAAAUUGCGCUUUCGCUUUUGUUAUUUACAGUCGAACUUAUGUACUUUCAUUUGGGCAUGUCCUUAUGGAAGUUGUCAUUUUUCUCGUUUAAAAUUUCGUUCUUGUUUUUGUUAGGAUUAUAGAAAAAUAGGCCAAAAAUAUAUGUUUUUUUUUCUGUGUGUCUGUGUGUGUGUGUGAGAUUUCUAUACCUUUACCGCAAUUGUCGUACGUUCGUUCAAAAAAUGUGAUUAAAACUUUUGUUCGUCUUUGAUUUGUUUUCGGGUGUUUUUCCUCUGGAUUUUGGUUUUUUAAUUGUUGUUUAGUGCGCAUUUGUUCUUGUCGUUCAUCUUCAUUGGAUUUGUGCAUAAUUUCAAGGAUUACAAUUAAUUGCAUAUACAUAUACAUUAUUCGUACUCGUUAGCAUUUACUGGUAGUUAUCAUUUACUUAGAGUUAUACACACGUUAAACUGCGCUUAGGAUUUCCGUAUGGUAUAGAAAUUGCUAUUAUUAAUUUACUUUCAUUUAUAUUUAAAGGUGGGUUAUUUUGCAGUUAUUUAUGUAAACGUUUACUGAAUCAUUUAAUCAAUCAUUUCAAAGGAAAACACCUAGGUUGUCCCCUAUUUAUACUUUUCGGUUAAUAACGAAGAUCGUUGAUAUAGGAGGGCAGGAGAUUGGGGUUCGAUGUGAAAUUAAAAACUUACUCGUAAACGUAUGCUCAAUUAGAUUUAUAUAAUUUGUUUGCGAUUUUUUAUACGCACUGUAUAUAAGAUAUGAAAUUUUAUUGCUCGCAAUUUCAUAUGUUAUUCCGUUGUAAAUAAUUAAACAAUUGUUUAGGAUUUAGCAAUUCACACGAAUCGAUUUAGUAACAUGCAAAUACGUGCAAAAAUAUAAAUGACACCAAUUAUCGAUUGAUUAAGUCCACAAAGUCAAUCGCGAUUAAAACGCUUGCUGGCUGUUUCAAUAUUUCAAUUGAAUGAAAUGCGGAAAUUAAUGUGGAAAUUCGGGGGAAAAACGCGGGAAAUGCAGCAUGUGAAAAUCGCUCUAGAGGGUAUUCAUUAUUAUUGUUAAUUCGCCAUUGGUAUUAUCUUGCGCUUAUUUUGCCGUUGUCAUUUGUUUGCGUACACAACCGUUUAAAAAUUUUAAUUUGUAAAUUUCGGCUUAAAAAUUUGCUUGAUUGUAUUUCAUAAUUGAUUGAUUGUGUUGUGGGAACUCGCCGCUUAACAGGCAUAAUAAUAGCGAAUAAUUUUCAUGGACCAGAUAACAUUGUUGUUUGCGUUUUAAGGUUGAGUUUUUAGCUUUUCCAAUCGUGAGAAUAGCGCGAAUAAAAAACUAAUGCAAAAGUCGAUUAGGAAUAAACACUUGUGGCAUCGAAAAAAAGGUCGAGAAUGGAUUAGUGUUAGUUAGCAUUUGUACAAGCUGUUCGUUUCGCUUAUAAGCUUAUCGUUUUUUAUAUAUAUAUAUAUAUUUAUAAGUCCAUUGUUAUUUAAACAUAGUUCAAUUAUGUAAAUAAAUUUACUUAACUACAGAUAGCUGCCAUUUCCGUGAGAACUGUUGUCGCUCAUGAACGAAAUCAAAAACUCUAGUGUGGAGGGGAGAGAUCCUUACAGGCAAACGAAAAGGAUAAUUGAAAGUAUUAUUUACAAACAUGAGAAGGACAAAGAAUCGGAGCAAAUCAUCUAUAAUGGCGAACGUAUUACUAGCAACGAGAGAACUUUAAACCAAAAGUAUCUGAGUACUAUAGAAACUUAAUUGGGUUUUCAAUGAAGUCAAGUCUUUUUCUUUAUGUAAAUGUUUGCUUCAUUCGCAUAAGUUGUAAAUGUUUGUUUUUGUCGCUAAUCUUGCUGUUAUUGCAUUGUAUAUAAGUAUAUUAUAUUGCACUCGUUAGCUUGUUCAGUUAUCAGCAAUAAAACCUAAUGCAAUAUUUUCUUCAAU
rnacentral:sRNA from 1 species